AUGUACAUUUAUGUUGCCAGCAUGUUGCUGCCCUAUUUACAUUUUGGUUGCGUGGUCAAUAACUUAAGUCACUACUACCUCCAUCCUCUCAAGAAUAUGACCUAUAUCGAUAUAAUUCAAUUCAUAACUAGGGAAAUUAUUCAUAGAUUUGGUAUUCCUUACAUUUUAACUAUGGAUAGUCCAUCUAUUAUUGCAGAAAAGGAAAACAUCAAAAACAAAGUUGUAGAGGUAACCUCCAGCAACGUGAGCGAAGUCUGCGUUAUUUAUGUGAUCAGGUGGAUGGAACUGGAACCUCCAAUUUAUGAAAAAUCCCACACAUAUUCUUUUUGCGGGGGAAUUUCAAUAGCUUUAGAUAAAGGCAUUUGCCCAACAGUCAGCCAACAGGUUGCUGGUCAGGAAGCUAGGAGUUUUGUCCAACCAGCUUUCAGUCACGUCAAUCAUGUUAGAAUGCUUGGCACAAAUAUUUAA
rnacentral:rRNA from 1 species